rnacentral:rRNA from 1 species
CCUACGGGCGGCUGCAGUAAGGAAUAUUGGUCAAUGGACGCAAGUCUGAACCAGCCAUGCCGCGUGGAGGAUGAAGGUCCUCUGGAUUGUAAACUUCUUUUAUCUGGGAAGAAACCCACGUUUUCCAAUGUGGUUGACGGUACCAGAUGAAUAAGCACCGGCUAACUCCGUGCCAGCAGCCGCGGUAAUACGGAGGGUGCAAGCGUUAUCCGGAUUCACUGGGUUUAAAGGGUGCGGAGACGGGUUGAUAGAAAGCCCCAAGCUUAACUUGGGAACUGCCGUGGAUACUAUCAGUCUUGAAUAUCGAGGAGGUAAGCGGAAUAUGUCAUGUAGCGGUGAAAUGCUUAGAUAUGACAUGGAACACCAAUUGCGUAGGCAGCUUACUACACGAUUAUUGACGCUGAGGCACGAAAGCGUGGGGAGCAAACAGGAUUAGAUACCCCAGUAGUC